rnacentral:lncRNA from 1 species
GAUUUAUUUAGUCGUGGUUGGAGUAAAGAGACAGGGGAGGAGAUGGUGUAAAAGCGUUGCUAAUAAGCAUAAGCUGGCUGGCUGCUAAAUCCUUUUCAAGAAUUGAAGCUUUUGCUGUCCCACUGCCUUUCAGUCAAAUUACAGAGAAUGAUGAUUUGGAUGAUUAGGUCUGUGAUGAAACUGGUUAUAGAAGCUAUUUCAGAACCCACAGUGGUUCCCACUUAAAUCAGAACACGAAGACCUGCCAAAGAUACUCUAUCUAAAACUAUUUCAACUCGUUCCGGUCUUCUGCACAUGUCAAUAUUCUCUCCUUCACAAAGAAUUUUCCAGAGCAAACCUUACAUGCUAUGAUGCUGAUGACAACAACAAAGAAGAGGAGUGGAUGGUGUUUUCCUCCAUCACGAUGAAAACUAAAACAGGGCUCCCUGUGACUGAGUGAGCCAAGAAUAAGAAGAAAGAUGGUGUUUUCAAGCAUACAGACUGAAGAGGAAAA